rnacentral:lncRNA from 1 species
ACCAAACAGACAUUUAAUGUUUCUCCAGAUAAAUUGUUCCACAUCAACUUCUUUAGUAGAGGAUAGAGCUUCGGCCUUGAUCCAUUUAGUCAAGUAAUCAGUGGCUACGAUCAUUAUUUCUUUCUUAGCAGAUGCCAUUGGUAUGGGCCUACUAAGUCGAUGGCCCAUUGCAUGAAAGGCCACAGAUUGUUUUGCGGAUGGUAGAUCUCGGCCCGCAGGUUUGGAACUGGCUUGUACCGUUGGCAGCGAUCACAUCUUUUAACAUAUUCAGUGGAGUCAUGGGGCAUAUUGUAG